rnacentral:tRNA from 1 species
CCGGCGGUGGUCAGACGGUUAUCACAAUGGGCUCUGGAUCCUUCAGUACCGGGUUCGAGUCUCCGCGCUGCCGGU